rnacentral:rRNA from 1 species
CGGAGUCCGAGUUGUAAUUUGUAGAAGAUGCUUUGGGUUGUGGGUUCGGCCUAAGUUCCUUGGAACAGGACGUCAUAGAGGGUGAGAAUCCCGUAUGUGGCCGAGGCCCGCGCCUAUGUAAAGCUCUUUCAACGAGUCGAGUUGUUUGGGAAUGCAGCUCAAAAUGGGUGGUAAAUUUCAUCUAAAGCUAAAUAUGGGCCAGAGACCGAUAGCGCACAAGUAGAGUGAUCGAAAGAUGAAAAGCACUUUGGAAAGAGAGUUAAACAGUACGUGAAAUUGUUGAAAGGGAAGCGCUUGCACCCAGACUUGGGCGCUGCCGAUCAUCUUGAGGUCUCCUCGAGUGCACUCGACAGCGGACAGGCCAGCAUCGGUUCGGGUGGCUGGAUAAAGGCCGUAGGAACGUAGCUCCCUUCGGGGAGUGUUAUAGCCUACGGUGCCAUGCAGCCCAGCCGGACCGAGGACCGCGCCUUCGGGCUAGGAUGCUGGCGUAAUGGGUGUAAGCGACCCGUCUUGAAACACGGACCAAGGAGUCUAACAUCUAUGCGAGUGUUUGGGUGGUAAACCCAUACGCGGAAUGAAAGUGAACGUAGGUGAGAACCCCGUUGGGGCGCAUCAUCGACCGAUCCUGAUGUCUUCGGAUGGAUUUGAGUAAGAGCAUAGCUGUUGGGACCCGAAAGAUGGUGAACUAUGCCUGAAUAGGGUGAAGCCAGAGGAAACUCUGGUGGAGGCUCGCAGCGGUUCUGACGUGCAAAUCGAUCGUCAAAUUUGGGCAUAGGGGCGAAAGACUAAUCGAACCAUCUAGUAGCUGGUUCCUGCCGAAGUUU